GAAUGCUGACAUAAGUAACGAUAAAGCGGGUGAAAAGCCCGCUCGCCGGAAGACCAAGGGUUCCUGUCCAACGUUAAUCGGGGCAGGGUGAGUCGACCCCUAAGGCGAGGCCGAAAGGCGUAGUCGAUGGGAAACGGGUUAAUAUUCCCGUACUUGGUGUUACUGCGAAGGGGGGACGGAGAAGGCUAUGUUGGCCGGGCGACGGUUGUCCCGGUUUAAGCGUGUAGGUGUGUGUUCCAGGUAAAUCCGGUUCACUUUAACACUGAGGCGUGACGACGAGGCACUACGGUGCUGAAGCAACAAAUGCCCUGCUUCCAGGAAAAGCCUCUAAGCAUCAGGUAACAUCAAAUCGUACCCCAAACCGACACAGGUGGUCAGGUAGAGAAUACCAAGGCGCUUGAGAGAACUCGGGUGAAGGAACUAGGCAAAAUGGUGCCGUAACUUCGGGAGAAGGCACGCUGACACGUAGGUGAAGUGAUUUACUCAUGGAGCUGAAGUCAGUCGAAGAUACCAGCUGGCUGCAACUGUUUAUUAAAAACACAGCACUGUGCAAACACGAAAGUGGACGUAUACGGUGUGACGCCUGCCCGGUGCCGGAAGGUUAAUUGAUGGGGUCAGCGCAAGCGAAGCUCCUGAUCGAAGCCCCGGUAAACGGCGGCCGUAACUAUAACGGUCCUAAGGUAGCGAAAUUCCUUGUCGGGUAAGUUCCGACCUGCACGAAUGGCGUAAUGAUGGCCAGGCUGUCUCCACCCGAGACUCAGUGAAAUUGAACUCGCUGUGAAGAUGCAGUGUACCCGCGGCAAGACGGAAAGACCCCGUGAACCUUUACUAUAGCUUGACACUGAACAUUGAGCCUUGAUGUGUAGGAUAGGUGGGAGGCUUUGAAGUGUGGACGCCAGUCUGCAUGGAGCCGACCUUGAAAUACCACCCUUUAAUGUUUGAUGUUCUAACGUGGACCCGUUACCCGGGUUGCGGACAGUGUCUGGUGGGUAGUUUGACUGGGGCGGUCUCCUCCUAAAGAGUAACGGAGGAGCACGAAGGUUGGCUAAUCCUGGUCGGACAUCAGGAGGUUAGUGCAAUGGCAUAAGCCAGCUUGACUGCGAGCGUGACGGCGCGAGCAGGUGCGAAAGCAGGUCAUAGUGAUCCGGUGGUUCUGAAUGGAAGGGCCAUCGCUCAACGGAUAAAAGGUACUCCGGGGAUAACAGGCUGAUACCGCCCAAGAGUUCAUAUCGACGGCGGUGUUUGGCACCUCGAUGUCGGCUCAUCACAUCCUGGGGCUGAAGUAGGUCCCAAGGGUAUGGCUGUUCGCCAUUUAAAGUGGUACGCGAGCUGGGUUUAGAACGUCGUGAGACAGUUCGGUCCCUAUCUGCCGUGGGCGCUGGAGAACUGAGGGGGGCUGCUCCUAGUACGAGAGGACCGGAGUGGACGCAUCACUGGUGUUCGGGUUGUCAUGCCAAUGGCACUGCCCGGUAGCUAAAUGCGGAAGAGAUAAGUGCUGAAAGCAUCUAAGCACGAAACUUGCCCCGAGAUGAGUUCUCCCUGAGACUUAGAGUCUCCUGAAGGAACGUUGAAGAC
rnacentral:rRNA from 1 species